rnacentral:tRNA from 1 species
GCAGACUGUAAAUCUGUUGUCUUCGACUGAGUAGGUUCGAAUCCUACCACCCCC